rnacentral:lncRNA from 1 species
CAAAAUCUAAUGCAAGCAUGAGAGUAUAGAAUGGGCGAUAUCGGGAUGAUCAAAGGGGGGGCUUGCCUGGUUGCUCAGACAAGGAGGGUCGUCGUCGACGUAGUCGAUCACAGGGGCAUCAGCAGCGGUCUCGGGGUCUACCGGAGAGAAGAAGGGGAAGAAACAGUAAAUACAUAGCAGGCAAGUGCAUAACAAGACAAUAAGCGGGGCUAGAAGUGUUCUAACGCCACGGUAGGCGGUACUGGCGAAGGGGGAAACAUCCGGGAAUGUUUUCCCGGUUCCGGACGUCUAUCAGACAGAUGAACCGGAGGGGAAAGGUUGCAUGUUCGCUAUGCUAGGGACGUGUGGCUGGCAAACAGACCGCGUAUUCAGAUUCGUCUCAUCGUUUUGAGCAACUAUCAUGUAGAAAACAUUUUCAUCCGAGUUACAGAUUAUCUUAAAUUAAAUUUCUAAGUUUAACACAUUUUCCCGAAAUUCUGGAUUUAUUACAAUUCAAAAAUAAACUUAGGAUAUACUUAUUAUACCUACUAUGGGGUAGCCAUAGUGGAUGAUAGGUGGGACCAGGGGGGUCCAGUUGACUCAGUCAAUAGUCCAUAGUCAACUGUUUGACUAUUGACUGGUCAAAACUGCCGCUAGGGCCCAGGUGUCAUUCUCACAUAUUCAACAUUUUCUUUUUAAGUGGAUAUAGACUAGUAUUUUAAUAGGUUUAUUUAACUCGCCAAAUUAGCAAUGGGGACCCACAAGUCAUCUGGACAUAGACUAAUCUAGCCACUAAUUAAUCCUUCUAGCUAAACCUAGUACUAACAAGGGUCGGCCACUACUGGGCAGAACCCAGCCGGCCACUCGCACAGACACACACACAACACACAACACAGGGAGAAGUUAAAUCUGUUCUCUAUUAGCAGAAGAUGGCAAUUUGUGAUUUUCAUAUGAUUUAAACCAUGCAUCAGAUGGAUUUGGUCCAAUGAACAAAUUUGAGCCUUGCAAGUGUACUACCAUCCCAUAUUUUUUUAGACAUAUUAACAACUGUUUAACCGCUGAUUAGGGGCUGUUUAGGGGCUUAGUAACUGUAGAAAUAGAAAAGCUAGCAACAUCUAAAGUAGCUAGCAACUAGCAGCGUAUAGGCGGCAUCGGUGGGUACGAACAACGGCGGCGCCAACACGCAGCUGGGACGCACGCGAGAGGCAGCGGCUAAGGGCGCGGGCCGGCACGGCUGGGUGCGUGCGCGGGUGUGCAAGGCAGCGGCAGUGAACGGGUAGAGGUGGCCGUGCGCGUUGCAGGGAACGGCCGGAGCAGGCACACGUGCGGCCUCGGGUGAGCUCCGGACGACGGGAGCGCAGCGGCGGGCCUGUGCGGGGUGAGCAGGGGUGCCGUGUAAGCAGUAGGGAGCCGCAUGGGCGAACAAUGAGCGAGGCAGUUGGGGUCGGGCGCGGUCGUGGUGGCGGUGGCCGCGACCACCGGCCGGAACUAGGCGGCACGGGGCGAUGACGGAGAAUGAACGAAGGAGAAGACUAGCAGGGGACGGCAUGAUGCUCACCAGAGGAGCGCAAGAAGGCCCGUUGAUAGGCUUAGUAGCAGCAGAGCAGGGGGUCGAAGCGACGAGGUUUCGGCGACCACGGGUGUUGACGGAGACGACGAGGCCGUUGCACUGCUCCCCGAGACGAAGCAGAGUACCAGCUCGACGAAGACGAGGGAGGCGAAGCUCAUGGACACAAGCUAUGGG